CCGCCCUCCUGGCUCCGGAACGCGGGGCGCCGCCGCCGCCAUGGGCGCGAUGCGUGGGCGCGGGCUGCGCGUGUGCCUGCCUGGCAUCAGACGGCACUGUGACUCCUCUCGAACUCUGAAAUGCAAAGAUGUUCCAUGGACCGCGGCAUCGCCUUUCCUCCCAGGUCCUUCGUACAUUGCCAGCAGGCCCUCGUGGAAUCAGCACCAUUUGGAAAAUUAGAUGAAAGCUGUUUUAUUCCUCUUGCACAGUAAGGAAUGAGAAAUCCUCUUUCCCCAGUUGGUGUUUCGAUAUAAACUGCAUCGACGGUGGAGCCUCCAUUAUCCAGAUGAUUUUGCAGAAACAAAUGGCCAUGGGCUGUGCAGCCCCUUUGUCACCCACUGCAGAUCUACCGCCUUCGAUGGGUUCAUAACAGCAGAGCUGAGGGAGAGGAGUGAGGACAAACGCCGGCACUUGUUUGCAUUGCUGCAGAAUACAAAAGGUAACAGAUACACGUGGGGACUUUUCCUCUUGCCCCCAGACUCCGUGUGCUGUGUCAGCUGUCUGCAGUAAAGCUCUGCGUGGACACAGAAGGCUUUUCUUGUGUUGUGCACUGCAGGACCAGAACUGCAUGUUGCAGUCGCUGCAGGAAAUGUCAGCCAGAGCUUGGGCUACAACAGCUGGGUACCAGGUUUUGCUGACCACCAAAAUCUAAUAUCAGGUCCUUGGAAACAAACCACUCCUGUGGAGCAAGGCGAGCGAUGACAAAGGAAGCACAUUCCUCACAAACUCAAACAGAUGAUCUCCAAAAGACAAAAAGAUCCACACCAAGUAACAAAGAUCGUUCAUUCUCAGUAGUUGGGGAGUAGGAAUACAGAUAACAACAUCUCACCCUGAAACACAAGCAGGUGGAGGAGUGCUGUCCUCCUGCAGCUGCCAGAAUAGCACCAGGAUCACAGAGCAGGGCAGCACCAGGCAGUGCUGGGCUCCAGGGCCCACCAGCUUUCAGCUGAAGGAUGCUGCGGGAUCAGAAGCACUCACGGGCAUCCAGAGGAGCUGGCACGAAGCUUUCCACGUCCUCUGGAUGGAGCAGAGCAGGAUACCCAUUACCGCUCACGUUUUCCUUCCUUGGGAAGGGAAGGAGCAGCACAAGGAGAUUUUUCAAAGCAGUGAAAAUCAAAGAGGUUUUUCCUCACAUAAGAAAAAAUAAUAUAGGAAUGCUUGUUAUUUGAGACUGUUUAACAUCCAAAAGCUACAUUAUAUUGUAACUCAAUUUUGUAUAUAUUUUGACAGUCAUAUUCAUCAACCCUACAAUCAUUCUGAGGAAGCGUGCUGCUUAAAAUUAUGCGUGAGCAGAAAAAGGCAAGGUGGAUAUAUAGCUCACAGAAGGAUUUCACUGCCUACCCCCCAGCUGCUGCGGAGCAUUGACAUCUUUUCUCAGUGGUCUUCUCUCAGAGGGAUCCUUAAGGCACCAGAAUCUCUGCUCUCUGUUACCCCAGCUGAAACAGAGCUGAUGUACGAUCACACCAGUUCAGCUUCUGUAAGUGAGACCGACAUUUGGCUGCUGUUCUGGGGUGUGUUUGUCCAUUUGCUUGAUAAAGCACUGUGCACAUGCUGCUUCCUUCCACUGCACAUCCAAGUAGAGGCCCGGCUUUCAACAGAAGUAAUCAUACAGUACCAACUGCCAGGAAGGCCAUCUUCAAAGUCAGCAUAUAAUUCUCUGGAAACACACACUGCUAUAUAAGCAACAUAUAAAAAUAUAGUGGGACAUUUUUAGAUUCUUUGAAGAUUUAAUGUUAUGCAAGUAGGAAAACUGAGAAUAUUAUAGAGUUACAUGAGAUGCUGAAAAUGAUAUUUACCAGCAAGGUAAUGCAAUAUACCUCUAUUGUGACAUUCAAUAAUUAAAGAGAGGCCCCCAGCAGUGAAUUGGUGGGUGAUUAACUCAUGGCAGCACCAUCCUCAGCCACCAGAGAAGUGGCAGCGCCUGCAGAGGGGCACUGGCAGCUGUGUGCCACAUCCCCAGCCCGGCACCGAAGCACAGCUAGGGAGUGCUUUUGGCAGAACUGAUUUCUCCUUUCUCCGAAUGGAAAUUAACAGAAAAAUGGAGACUGGGCGGCCAUUUCCAGAGACAGGUUUUUUUUUUUUCCUGGUAGUAGCCUUAGGCUGACUUUCUGGAUUUAAGACAUCAUCCUGCCCCUAAUUCUGCAUAGGUACGAUGGUCUGUUCAGAUAGGAUCUGUAAUUCAGCUCCAGCAGAAAAAAAUAGAGGAAUUUGAAGUUUGGUCUUUAAUGAACAGAAGCCAACAGCUGACAAAUUAAGUACUUUGGAGAAGUGAAAAUUAAACAGUCCUGCAGACACGAGUGUUGGCAUAUGGAAAGCUGCCACUGAGCUAAUAAUAGAUGUGUCUACUGCAGCAGAGAGGGAGGUCCCCAUCGUCCCGGAGCACACCAUACAUCUGGGCACUGGGAAAACAGCCACGAGGCGGUGUCUGUUUGUUGCUUGUUACCUUCCUGCCAGCUAUUCAUCUGCUGCAACUGCUGGCUGAGGGCAGCCAUCCACAGGCAGUGACACUGCACUGCAACGGCACCGGGAUCAGUUCUGCCCACCAGCUCCCAGUUUAGCAGAUGAGUUUCCUGAAGCCACAGAAGCACAGGAGAGUCUUCCACUAGCACACUGCUUGCUGCAGUGCAACUGCUCUACAUAAUUCCCCCAAACUCAGCCAACAGAAUGCAGAAACGUGAGCGUGUGACAACAGCCAUUUCCUCACAUUACUUCAGGUAGCUGUAAAAGCACAAAACUACCUGUGGACUGGGUCUUCCUUACUUAUACCAGCCCAACCCCUCCAUCAUCUCUUUGUGUGCAGUAGAGUCAUGCUGCUGAAAAACAGGAGGAGAACCAGGGUCACUACAUGAAAGAUGGAAAAAAGCAUAGAGAAAUUACAAAUCAGAGAAGGAAAGUGAUUUACAGACAGGUGAUUAAGAAACUCAUCAACUGUAUUUUCGUAAGUAUUCUCUUGUUCAUUAAAGGGAGGAUACAAAUGAACAGGGUGGUGGAACUGCAGGCAGCCGGCAGCAGGGUAACUUAGCUCCAGUUAUUGCCAAAAACACUCCAAGCAAAGAGACCGAAGUACAUGAUGUGCUCCAGCAGCCAGCAGUAAGGAAGGCUGUGUGUACGUUGCACGGCAGUAGGAGGAGGAGCAUACUCAUGUGAAACACGCCUCACCCUACAGACGCUCUCCUGGAGAUGACAGAUGAGGUUGAUUCACAGCACUCCUCCCAAAGAGUGUCCCUACACCCUGUAAUACAGAAAGCCAACAAGAGAUAAUGGGCACUAAAGAGCAGAAGUGAGAUAAAGCACUAAAGAGAAGAGAGAGAUAAGGUGCCAGAGAGGAGAUACGCGUGAGUGUGCGCACACAGAGGAACAAGCUCUAAUAUGAAGCAAGGGCAGCCUCUGCCAGUUUUAGCACUGAAUCACUACUUCUCUUCAUAGAGUACACAGCCCAUGAGCUUUUGGAGACUUCUGAGGUAACAAGCCAUAGGGCAAUUUUGGUUGCAUCACAGCUGAGUAAGCUGGAUAAUGAGAUGAGUGGAGAUGAGGCGACUCUGCUGACAUUAAGAACCCAUCGGUCCAGGAAAGGGAAGCUCCUGCACACCCGAACUGCUUUUCAGUCAAGCCUGAUGCUGUUGUCAUUAUGAUGGCAAAUACACAAAGGACUUUUAUUGUAGGUAUAUGCUCUGAAAAACCUGUGCCUCUGCCUGAGACUGUAGCAAGAAAAAGUAACCUUAAUAAGAGCCUGUAAGUUCUGUUAAUGUUUUGGUGCUUCCAAGUCAGUUCAGAAACUAAAAGGCUGUCUGAGAGUUCUGCAUCUUCUAGCUGCUUCCAGCAAGUAGUUGCUGUCUUUCACAUGGGUAAGUCCUCCAUUGGCAGAAUUCAGCUGGCCAUUUUAUCCUUACAGACUCCACCUACUGGCACUGUAUUGUCUACCACUAAAAUAUCACAUCUGGUUGGGUACCAUGAGCUUCACAGAGCUGAUAGCUGCAGCAGAUGAGCUUGCUGAUAGCCUUCCACGUGCCCCUGUGAGCUUGCCAGAGCAAAGAAUCUGACCCCAGCAGCGCUGGCUGCUGGGAACGUGACUGGGACAGAUUUCUUCAGCAUCAGCCAGGUUUUUCCAGGUCUGAUGAGGAAGGGGUGGCUCUCUGGCCUUGCACAAUGUACCACUACAGCAGCCACACUUGUCGCCAUCCAGAAGAACAGGAGAACAGUUCCAGAAGUCUGCUCUUUCCUCAGCACAGGGUGCUAGGCACAGCCGCAGAAAGGUUUUGGCACCAUGAAGGUGCCCUGGCCUCCCCUGGCUGCCACUCACACGACUACUCAGACCUGCGCCUCAUCUCCCUUUGCUUACAUUAUAUCCUUCUCCACUGCUGAGCCCUUUGGUCCCUUUGUGCCCUCCUGGCUUGAACAGGGCACGAUAUGGGCACAGCAUGAGGAACCCGAGACAGGCAGAGGAGUGCAAGAGGUCCCAUGUGCUGCACCCCUGGGAAGGUGACACUUCUCCAUGCAGAGCAAUGGCACUGACACCACACAGAGCAGCAGUCCUUGAGUUAAAAUAGCAGCAACACUGACAGUACUCACAGGUCCCAGAAAGGAAAGGUGAUGCAGAAUUGUCUUGUUCACAUUUUCCAUACUGGGAACCAGCACAAACGUUGUCUGCUUCAAUCAUCCUCUGCAAUAUGUGAUACUCUGCCUCAAGAUUACACAAAUAAAAAAAAAAUACCCACAGUACUCCAUUUGUUUUCUCCAGGAAGAGCUCAAAACGCAACAAAAUCCAGCCCCUCUGUAUUGUUCUUCGCAAGCUCCAAAGUGUUCAGCUGCUCAAGAUAUAUCACAUUACAGCCCAGGGAUGUACCCAUCCUCUGAGUAAGGAGGGCCAUCACCCCACAGCCAGCUGCUGCAGGACACGUGCUCUGUGCAUCUCAGGGCCAGCAGAGCUCCCAGCCAGCCCUGGCUUCUCUCAUAUUCACAUCAAACUACAGCUCAGAUCAGGGACAAAAUAUAUUUUCAGAGCUUUGAGAAAAAUAGGGUUUUUGUUUGUCCUCCCCCCCCUCUUUCUUCAAAAUGACUCACAUCCUGUAAUAAUGAGCAAAGGACACCAACUGCAAUCUCUUUGUGAGAAGUAGCCUCAAGAAAUCUUACGGUGUUUUAGACAUUCAAAAUAAAAAACUGAUGAUUUCACAGCGUUAGUCAGCAAUAACUUCAGGAAGGCGUAUUGGAAGUCAAACAAAUCCUAAAGGUGUUGAUCUGAUUGGGAAUCUGACAGUUCCACAUCUUGCGGCAGAAAGCUGAAAACAACAGAAGGACACAGCAACAAAACACACACGAGAGUAAGAUCCAGUGGAAAAAAAGAUCUGACUUAGUAAAAACAAGACAGGAUACAGCAUCGGCCUUGUCCUAAAGAGAGAUUUCUUUGGCUUUUCCUAGUUUCUGAGGGCAAAAAGUGUGUUUUUCUUCCUUUCCGAGGGGCUGGAUUGAGGCUGUGCUGCUGCUGGGAAGAGCAGGUAGGGCAGAUGGCCGCGGGACCCCCACUCUGGGAUCUCCUCUCCCUGCUACUGCAUGGUUUGAGCGUGGCUUCAGAGCUGUGGAGGACUGAAACACUCAGUGCCCUCCUGGGCCCACGAUGUGCAGCUGUCCCAGGCAUGAGCUCAGCGGUGCAGAGGAGACAGCAGCAAAUUCUCUCUCUCUCUUUCUCCAUGAUCAGCCCAGCAAAGAACAAGAUAACUUGCUGUUCGCACUACUUUUGGUUCAUUUGGCUGCAUUCUAGAACAGACACAAUUAGGCAGAUUUUUAAAUGAACAAAUUGUUUAGGUUUCUCAUUAAAGUUGGUUCAACAAGAUUGCUUCAGUGACUGAAAAGCCAGCACUGGGGGUCUUACAGACCUGCACUGGGCUGAACUGCAGCAGUUUGCCUGCUGCCUGCAUGCAAGGCUCUUCUGGGGAAAACAGCACCCACAGUAACAAGCUCUUAGGCCACGACAGGACGAACUGCAGUUUCCUGUAAUGUAACAGCUGCUCCGGAUUUCUUCCUAAUCUGCAUUGCACGCAGCAUAGAGAUUUCAGUAGCCAUGAUCUUACUUCGGUGCAGAACAUGAUUUCCUUUCACACACACACGAGGUCCCUGGAGCCAAUUUGCACAGUGCCCAGAGGCCCCAGCACGGACUCCCAGCUGCAGAGGUCUGCUCCUGCCCUCCAUGUCUUCUGUGUAUGCCUGCAGUGCACAGCUGCCCCUGACAGGCAUGUGCAUCAGCAGUUUGGAAACAAAAUAAAGGAUGGGGAACAUUCCUGUCCUGGCUCCAUCCAUUAUGUGGCUCCAUCAUUACAAGAAUCAACAAGCUUUCUGUCCUGCUCCACACAGCGUUAAAGCAAAUGCAAUGAACCUAAACUUGUCAGUAACCACAAAUGCACCUAAUCCACCAAAAAACAGGGAGCUGAGCCUGCAGGACAAGCUGCUCUCAGAAGUCCCAAGUCUGGAGACAGAGGAAAAUGCAGAGCACCACUUCUAGAAUAUUUUGUGUGGUAGGAGACCAUGUAAUCAGUGUACCAGAGUCAGAUGAGUACAGAAUCAGCAUUAGAAGCUGAAUCAUUUCCAGGAUAGGAGAGAUUUAUCCUAUACUGCUCCCUAUUAAAGUCUUACACAGUGUACUACCUACUCAGUAAACCCAAGAAAUUAAUUGACUCUGGCACAAAUGAACAGAUGAUAAAGAAGAUCCAAUAAGAAGACUUGGGAGAUAAAAACCUCUUUGUAUCUCCAUCGUGGGAGCUGGACCAAGGAUGAGGUUGGGCCCUGCCCUGCACAGCGUGCGCUUUCCAUCACUGCUGCAGCCUCUUUCUUGCCUGGAUACACCACACUCCUCGGGGUGAAUCAGGGCUCCCUCACAUCAUGCAAGAGCCAGCAAAGAGCAUACGAGCCUGAAGCCACAAGUCUGAAGCUACUGAACACAUGACAAUAUAAAGCAAGUCUGAAGCUUAAAGCAUGGGUUUUAGGAGCUAAACAGUUGUGCCCAGCACUGUGAUCUGUCGUUACUCUGCUGUUGUUGGUCCACCAGAGCUUAAAAUAGGCUGAGCAACAAGAUAAACAACUGUAAAAAUCCCAGGCUGCUGCCAGCAGAUACUUGGGAGGCCGCAGCAUCACACGGUUUCGCUUCACUUCCAGUUACUGCAUUAUUUGUAGAAGUCUCCAUUAUAAUUCAGGAACACACUGAACCCAAGUGUUGAUGCAGCCAGAGAAAAACUUCAUGCUGCAGAAGAAUCCACACACCGCAUGCAAUGCUGCAUCAGCCCAGCUCCAGUGCUGCAGGCAGAGCAUGCAUGAGAUCAUGGUCUACAACCUUCCCAGAUUCUCCGAAUUCACCCUGUCGAGGGCAGGUAGUUCUCAUGCUUCAGCUGCUGCCGUCACAGGCUUUGUUAGUGCUGGAGGCUGAGGCUUUGUAAGGAGCCACGGGAGUUCAGGACAUUCUGUUCAGAACGCCAAAGGCGCUGAAUAACCACUUACAUUUGCAUGUGCCUAAACAUAGCCUAAACAAACUGCAAAUAGCAGGAAUAGGGUUAGCACUGAGAAGCACAACUAAAAGCAACGAAUACCCAUUAAUGAUUUGGUACUUUUCCAGAAAGGCUAGAACACAGACUAUCAAAAAGAAUACGUGAAGUGGUAUUUUUGUACAGACAAUGGAGGAAACAACAAACAAAAAGCCCACAGUCACAAAGGGUAAAGAUUUGAGAUGUUUGCUGCAAACUUCAAAGCGUAGUUUUAACCAGUCAGUAUGCUUUAUGAGAUUAUCCCAAGAUAAGAUAAUCUGUUAAGCACUGUUUCUGGAGUUCUGACUAUUUGCUAGACAUGCACAAUCUCUUUGCUGCCUGAGCUCAAACGCUUUUCUCUGCUGCAGCAGUGGCAGCUCACAAAGAGGCAGCCAGCUUACAGCAGAGCCUCUGCAUUAUGAAUCACACCAUGUGCAGCAGAAGGCAGGCUGCAGUGCUCAGGGUGGGCUACAGAGAGCCAGAAGACCCGGGGUGCUCCUCCUGGUGCUGCCCAUGGUUUGACAGACGAUCGUCAGAGCGGCCCUCAUCGCAUACAUCUGUUUCUCAGCUUCCAUAUGCUAAGCAUCAGCAGUACAGCAGAACACCCCAGGGGUUGCUCACCUUAAGAAGUCAAAGAAAGGGAGAAUGAGAACAUCUGAAAAGGAAAGGAAAUAAUUUGGCGCAUCAUGAGGCAUUUACAUUUCUGAUUUCAGAGGCAAUUCAGGCUGCACUUUAGAACACAGGCUCUGACCCAUAUAACAGAAGAGAAGGGAAACGUUAAAAAUGUAACAGCACUCCUUACAAUUAUUUCAAACCACCCCCCCCGAGCGUCUGGUAAGGCAGGCUGUAGUUACUGCAGUGAGGCUCAUGAAGCGUCUGGAUGCUGUGAGCACUGCUGCCUCUGCUAUACCUGACCAGAUUCACCCUCAGAGCCUCCCUGAGCAAGGGAAGUAGGGCACUGAGUGCGGUUCAUUGCAGAGAUGGCUGCAGAAGAAUAUUCCCAUAGUUAAAGAUAGUCCGUGUCAGUGGAUCCGGUGAUGCACGCAGUGAUUUUUAAAGAAGCCCCGCCCGGUAACAGCGCAGGAUGCAGCCUACCGGCGGCACAGAGGAAUUCCCCCUCGGAGCCGAUUCGGCACAGGCAGCGCUGCAGAGCAGCAGGCAGCACUCUGCCGGCCGGGAUGCGUCGACACCAGAGGAGCUCCCGACAGUCUCCAGCUGCAGCAGACAGCGUGUCGUGCAGCCCGGCCCCCCAGCCUCCCCGUCAGCCUGUAAUCAGCUGCACUGUACAUGUGCACCAGCCUCGAGAACAUAGCAACAGGUGUACUUUGAAACCUGAAAGGUCCUUAGUUCAUUUAAGCCCUUGGCAGGAAGCCACAGCAGAAGGUCCAUUAGCACAGCUGUCGAAGCAGAGGGACUUACAAUGGCCACACCUGUUCCAUCACCACUGAACACCCACAAUGCUCCUCACUCCCACUUUCUGCCCAGUACACAGUGUGACAGACCCUGAGCAGCACAAAAUCCAAGUACGGCUCCAAAUGACUUCAGAAGCAUUAGCUCCACAUUGUGGCAGGAUUUCUUCCUGCUGUGACAGAAGGCUCUGCCGAACACACCACAAGACCGUAUCCGCUGUAGAUUCCAGUAGGGAGCAUUCACUUACUCUUCUCGGCAGGAUGGAAGAGACAUUCCCAUUUUACAGACAGAAAAAGAAGCCCCUCAUGAUGGCAAGGAUUUAAACGAGCAUUUUCUCAGUCAAAAGAUAGGCUUUUUAAAAAUUAUUUUUAAAGCUAAGGAUCACUUGUGUUUUUUCUGUAAGAAAGUGAGAUGAGGACUUGAACCUUUCUGAGUGGAACCACUCAGUCCUGACCACCACGUGCCAAUCCCGUUCAGCUUUGCUACUUCUCCCAUUUAUAGAAGCUUCCUUGAUAAGCAUUUCAUCCAAGCCACUGGUAACUGCAGUCUGAUGUCAGAGGCUUGAGUUCUGUCUUUUAGGUAGAUCUAAUGGAUUUCAACCUCUCCACUGCAGUCAGAAGCAGGAUUUUUUCCUAGGAAAAAUCCAUUGCCACUGAGCUAGAUCUUUUAUUCUUCUUCAUAUAAAUAUAUAUAUAUUUAAGUUCAGAUUCAUGAACAAAGAUUGAAAUGAGCAAACCGUUUGUAUCAAGAAGAGAGAAAACCCUAUUUCUCAUUCUUCAGCAGCCGUUCCUGACAUGUCAUUUCGCAGAUGAAAAGGCUUUUUAUGUAGAACCUGAUACAGAGACUGAAAUGACUCGCAGAGCAUUCCAUUAAAAGGAAAACAUCCCACAGUACAGCAGUUGUGUACAUUUCUCUUGCUGUGGAACAAAACAGCAGUUUUUACUGCUAUGAUCUCCAAAUCCAACAGUAUUAUGUAUUUUAUCAAUGUACGAAUACUGAUGGGGGAAGAGAACAGAGCUCUUCUCCAUGGUGUCCAGUGACAGGGCAACAUGCAAUGGGCACGUACUGAAGCACGAGUAAAUCUGUUGAAGUAUAAGAGGAAAAUCUUUUUGCUGUGGGGCUGAUCAGACACCAGGACAGGUUACGCAGGGACGCCGAGUAAUCUUCAUGCUCAGGAGAUAUUCAGCAGCGACCGACAGUGUCCUGCCUAACUUGCUCUCAUUGCCCCACUUUGAAGAAUUCACUAGGUGACCUGCAGAGGUCCCUUCCAACCUCAGCUAUCCUUUAAUUGUGAGUAAUGAGAAGAAUGUGAUUUGCUUAGUCUAGAAAGGGAAAGCUGGAGGUAGGCAUAAUGGAUCCCUUUGAAGCAGACAGAUCUCUACGUGUACUGACCAAGACAGAUGAAGCAGUAACAGGCUAGCUGUAGGGAAAGAAUGGCACAUAUUUAUGUUCCACAGGUAGGAGUAUUUAAGUGCUGGAAUAGCCCAUGGAAUCUUAGCAGCAAACUUAAAAAGGAAAACACGUGAAGAGCCAUUGGGAAUGGCCUAGGUGUUAUCAAUUUUGCUUCAGAGAAUCUGAAUAUUCUACUGCUUGGAUCAGCACUUUCCAAGCACAAAAUAGGCAGCUUCAGCAUUUGUGCCUUCAGUGAGUGAAGUCACCACCACGGCAAGGAGGACACAGCAGGCAGGAAGAAGGAUCUUUGGACAAAUGUUCUCAAAGAAGGAAGGUGCACAAAGACAGAUGGAGAGCUGCAGGAGCCAGAGGGCGUAAUCAUCGUGUCUUAUCAUCAUCAGACCAGAAACCAAGAUGACAGCGCUCCUUAGAGUGACGGGAAAGAAAAGCCUCCAUUAAAUUGGGUAACUGGGGAGAAAAAAGCCUCCAAGUUUAUUCCUGCCAGCAAACUAGCUUCUCUAUGUCCUGUAGCACACACAGAGUACACCAGUCCUAGACAGGAGAAAAUGUCAACAUUUUUUCUGUGAUCCCAUGAGAAAAGACUUUAUGUUGUAGGAAGGCUUUGUAAUUGCAAAGAAAGCUCAAUGGAAGAGACAGGGAAGAAAGGAAAUCUGAUGUCAAGACUCUGAUGAAUUUAACUUGUUAGUAUAAAUGUACAUACUGCACAUUUAAGCAGAAAUCCAAUAUCCUAAAAAUAUCCCCAGUACAGCCUGAGAACAGAAGAUUGUUGCCUUGCUAAACACCAGCCUCACUCCAGCUGAUUCUUGCGUUUUCACAGUAUUGCAAGUUAUGAACUCCUUCAAACUCUGGAAUACACCAUCAGGAAAAAAAAAAGAACAAAACCGAGAACAGUUUAAUUAUCUGAAAGUCAAAUCUGCAAAGGAACAGCCUACCUGACACCAGCACUGACACAGCGUUCAUACAUUCCACCACUGCUCACUCGGAUGUUUUCCUAAAAUGUUCAUUUAUUUUAGUGUACAUUUACUUUAAUAAAUGGAUAUUCAAUACAUGAAUUGGUGUUUCUGAAGACACCUUUUUUUUUUUUUUCUCUGUAAAACAAUUGAGAAAUUCAGACUAGCAUCUCCUCAUGAGUAUCUU
ensembl:lncRNA